GGGGCUGCCUUUUGAAUGGCGCGGCGGGAAGAUGGCGGCGUCACCGCUAACGGCGGCGCCGCAGCCUCGGCGGCGGGGCUCCGCAGUGUGGCUGGCGGCAGGGCGGUCCGGGCUGCCCCGCUGGGCCCCGCGGCCCCCUGCCGCAUCGUACUUAGCCCCCCGCCCGGCCUCGAGGUCUCCCUGUGCGGCAGCGGGAGCCCUGGCGGCGGCUCGGCAGGACAAUACCAGCAGGUAAAUGUUCCUGAAGAUCAAGCAGACAAGUUGCUCCUUGCAAGCUGGGGUCUUCCCAAAGCAGUUUUGGAGAAAUACCACAGUCUGGGAGUAGUACAGAUGUUUGAAUGGCAAGCAGAGUGCCUAAUGCUCGGACAAGUUCUGGAAGGGAAGAACUUGGUUUACUCAGCUCCUACCAGUGCUGGAAAGACACUUGUUGCAGAAUUGCUCAUUUUGAAGCGAGUCUUAGAGACUCGUAAGAAAGCUCUUUUCAUCCUUCCCUUUGUCUCUGUGGCCAAGGAGAAGAAAUCUUAUCUGCAGGCCCUUUUUCAGGAGGUAGAUGUGAGAGUUGAAGGCUACAUGGGAAGCAUCUCUCCUGCUGGACAUUUCUCUUCGCUGGAUGUUGCUGUCUGCACCAUUGAGAAAGCCAAUGGUCUAAUCAAUAGACUAAUAGAAGAAAACCAAAUGGACUCACUGGGAGUGGUGGUUGUGGAUGAAUUGCAUAUGCUUGGAGACUCUCAUCGAGGAUAUCUGUUGGAACUCCUUCUGACCAAAGUUCGAUACAUUACAGAGAAAGCUACAAAAAGAAAGACAAAGAUGACGAGUCCUGGUUUUGGAGGAAUACAGGUAGUAGGCAUGAGUGCUACCCUCCCUAACUUGGGACUUCUAGCCUCGUGGUUAGAUGCAGAAUUGUACUGUACAGAUUUUCGCCCUGUGCCCCUCAAGGAGUGGGUGAAAAUUGGCAACAACAUUUAUGACUCUUCCAUGAAUUUGGUGCGAGAAGUCCAGCCCAAACUUCAACUGAAGGGAGAUGAAGACCAUGUUGUGAGCCUGUGCUAUGAGACUGUUUGUGAUGGCCAUUCAGUCCUGCUUUUCUGUCCAUCCAAGAAUUGGUGUGAGAAGCUGGCAGACAUCAUUGCCAGGGAAUUCUACAGUUUGCAACAGGCAGAAAGUUCUGCAAAGAACUCAUCCCUUCCCCCAGUAGUUGUGGACAAAGAAGGGAUAGAUGAGAUCCUGGAUCAGCUAAGGCGCUCUCUCUCAGGUCUGGACUCUGUGCUCCAACGUACUUUACCGUGGGGAGUGGCAUUUCAUCAUGCAGGUCUUACGUUUGACGAACGGGACAUCAUCGAAGGAGCCUUUCGCCGGGGCAUGAUUAGAGUUCUAGCAGCCACCUCCACACUCUCCUCUGGAGUGAAUUUGCCUGCGCGCAGAGUAAUUAUACGAACACCCAUGUUUGGUGGCACACUGCUGGAUGUUCUCACUUACAAACAGAUGGCUGGAAGGGCUGGCAGGAAAGGAGUAGACACGGAGGGUGAGAGCAUUUUAGUUUGCAAGCCAUCAGAAAGAUCAAAAGGAACUGCUCUACUUCAGGGAUCUCUCAAGCCUGUUUGCAGUUGUUUGCUUAGAAGAGAAGGGGAAGGUGUUGCUUCUAGCAUGAAAAGAGCAAUACUUGAGAUCAUUGUGAGUGGAGUUGCCAACACUCCAGAGGAUGUGCAGACCUAUGCCUCUUGCACUCUUCUUGCAUCCAGCUUGAAAGACAGCAAGCAAGCAAAUGAGAAAGAACAAGACAAAGUGCAGACAGGACCUAUUGAGGCUUGUAUAGCAUGGCUACUGGAGAAUGAAUUCAUUCAGGUUCUGGAACAUGCCAGUGACAAGAAGGCAAAGAUUUUUCACCCAACACAUCUUGGCUCAGCUACUCUUUCAUCUUCUCUUUCACCAACUGAAGCAAUGGAAAUUUUUGCUGACCUACAGCGAGCUAUGAAAAGCUUUGUUCUGGAGAAUGAUCUGCAUAUUGUCUAUUUGGUCACCCCUGUGUAUGAGGAUUGGACCACAAUUGAUUGGUACCAGUUUUUCUGCUUAUGGGAGAAGCUGCCUGCCUCAAUGAAGCGCGUGGCUGAGCUGGUGGGGAUUGAAGAAGGCUUUCUGGCUCGCUCUGUAAAAGGCAAAAUCACAGCUAAAACAGAGAAGCAGUACAGACAAAUGGCCAUCCACAAAAGAUUUUUCACCAGUCUUGCCCUCCUGGAUUUAAUCAGUGAAGUUCCCUUAAAAGAUAUGACCAAGAAAUAUGGUUGUAGUCGUGGCCAGCUUCAAUCCUUACAACAGUCUGCUGCCACCUACGCAGGAAUGGUAACAGUUUUCUGCAAUCGACUGGGUUGGCACAACAUGGAGCUGUUGCUCUCCCAGUUCCAGAGCCGCCUCACUUUUGGAGUUCACAGGGAGCUUUGUGACCUGGUACGAGUCUCUCUGCUGAAUGCACAGCGUGCUAGGAUGCUUUACAACGCUGGCUUUGUCACAGUGGCUGAUCUUGCUAAAGCCAGUCCUGGUGAAGUGGCAACUGCUUUGAAGAAUUCAGUACCAUUCAAAAGUGGUCGCAGGGCUGUGGAUGAAGAUGAAGAAUCGGCAGAGGAGCGUCGGACUGUGUGCAGCAUCUGGAUGGCCGGAAUGAAGGGUUUAACUGAAAGUGAAGCAGCUUCCCUCAUUGUGGAGGAAGCCAGGGGACUUCUUCAGCAGGACUUGGCAGUGAUGGGAGUGCAGUGGAACCCAGAGUCUUUUCUUGAGGCUGAUACAUCGUCUACGAUCAGCAGUGAGUCAGAGAUGGAAGACAGACUACAUAAGCCUGAUGGAGAACUAUCUUCUGAAUCUUCUGUGAUCUUAAACAAAAAAGAGUGCGAAGUUCAGAAUCAUAAGGGCCUUGGCUCUCAGGCUGGAAACCUAUCAAAUAUUAAAAAGGGAUAUAAAAGGCGGCUAAGCAGUAGUACAGCAAACUCCGGAUUUGAGAGUGAAGUCACAUACAGGAAACAGGCUCAAGCAGAGGAAAAAAAUGAUGAUACUGUGCACAGUGCUAGAAAACGUCCGAAUAUGAGCAGAGACAAUGAAAAUGUAGAAGGAAUUCUUAAGGUCAGAAACAAGGCAUAUUCCAAAAAAGCAAGUCCUGAACUCCAUACUGAGCAAGGAAAGACACCAACAUUAGGAAAAAUGUCUUCAGCCUCUAGAUUGUUAAGAAGUGCGGACACACAUUUAAACCGGACUAGGAACAAAAAUACUUUUUCAAAACUGCAGAAGUCACUGCUUGAAGACUCGAGUACGUUUAUCAUGGAUAUUGAAAAACCUUCUGCUUUCCUCCCCAGCAUUUCUAAAGAUAGCUUAUUUUCAGACCAAAACAAUAAGGAAUGUAUAGAAAAAGUGUCUGUAGCUCAUAAGGUCUCAAAUUCUGUACAAAUGAGGGAAAAUAAUGUUGGGAGGAAAGAUAAAAUGGGGAGUUUAUUUACAGAACUUUCUACUCCCAAGGAAGGCAUACCUAUGGAGAGAGCAUUUUUUCAGCCAGCUGUUACAUUACAAGGUAUUCCACACAUCAACAAGGAAACACAUGAUACUGUAGAAAGUCCAGUAAUACCUUCUAGGGCUAGAAUACAGAGAAAUAAAACUAUUGAUGAUAAGCAGAAUAAAAACAAUAAAAUGCAAACAGAUGUGAGCUGUGUUGAGGUGAAGAUUUAUAAGCAGCAUAGUACUUUAGAUGCAGGUCAUUGUAAUGUAAACACUAACUGCUCUGGAAAUGUAUGUGUCCAUAAUGGCAGCAGGAAACAGAAGUCUGUGUAUUUUUGUAAUGAUGGUGAUAAAUUGUGUCAUGCUCAGAUCCAGAAUGCUGGUAAAAAUGGGAAUGAAACACCCAACGGAAAAUUGUUACAAGCUGGAGCACUACAAAAAGGCAACAGUCAUGCUAAAGAUUUUCUGAAAGACUCUCUAGUAAAAUCCAGAGCUAUUUGUGAUGCAAAUGAUGUUCGGAAUGGUCCAUCCUCUGGUCUGAUUUCUGUCUCUACAGACUUUGAUCAUAGCUUCCAGUUGGAUACUCAGACUGUGAGGAUAAUAAAACAGGAGGCAGCAGCUGGAAUCACACGACAGCAGGGAAUACAGGAUUUAGAACUGGCAGCAGUACCACAGCAGGAAAUCUCCAGGAAACUAAGCACUUUGCAGACUGAGAAUUGUACUGGGGAAAGGCUAGAUGCGACAGUAAGGAAACUAGGCUUAUCGAGUAUUAUCACAACAAAUAAUGUUAUUAAAAACACAGAUCAGCACUGCAGGAACAAAGUUUUGGAGUCUGGAGACCUUAAUGUACAGCCUGUAGCAAAAGAAAUAGAAUCUGUACCUGUCCUUGAAGGAAGUGACUACUCAGUGACUGAUUCUCAGCUACACAGUUUUCUACAGUAUUAUCAGACCCAAAAUUCAGUGAAAGGGGAGAGUGCUUCUAAAGGUCCUAAUAAAGCAACCUCCCCUCUUGGUAGGGAGCACUUAGUACAAGAAGAAUACCAUCCUGUCUUGGAAACAAGCCUGAAUAUGAGUGAUAGCUUGUUGUUUGAUGAUAGCUUCAGUAAUGUCAGUGAUCUUUCAGCUGUGAACAUCAUGGAAGCUGACAGAAAGGAACCUGAGGGGAGGCAGGGAGCUUCGCUUCCUGCAGAUGGCCUUUUGCAGAACCUAAGGCCUGUUCAGAAUAAAUCUGAUGUCAGUGACAGCCAGAGAGAGCAUGAGGAUCCAGCAAAGAAUAAUGAUGCAUCUCUAGCACUCUCUGAUCUCAUAGCUGAAGUUUUCGAUCAUGCAAACUCCCCAACUUUUUUGGGAGAUUUUCCUUGUACAUCUCAAAGUCAGCCUAAAUUAAGAAACAUGGUGAUUUGUGACAGUGACUCCAAUCCAAAGGAUUUAGAAGUGGAUCAUGGGGAAAAGCUCCAGUCUCACCAGCAAAUGUUAGGUAAGAAAACCCAUCCAGUAGUGUGGACUGACCACUCAUUUGAACUGAGCCCAGGACUUCAGGAGAUAUUAGACAAAUGGCCUAGUCCUUCAGGCAUUGAACUUGUUUCAGUAAAUCUAAAAAGCUCCUGUCUGAAAGGAAACUUAGUUGCUUCAAUUGCUAAUCAAGAGCCAGUUGCAAAUUUUGAAUUUGACCAUCAUCAGCUAGAGCCUUUGCCUAAUUGUCAGGAUUUAAAAUACUACUGCAAAGUUAAAGAAAACAAAACAAAAGACUUGGAUAUUCAGAAAUCAGACUGUGUAACACUUACGCUCAAGGGAAGCAACAGGAUGUCCUAUCCUCCACCAGAUAAUUGUAAUGGGUUUAUUCCUCCAACACCCCCCAAAGAACUUUUUCCAAAAAGUUCUAUAUCUUUCUCUGUGAAAUCUGCAAAGAAGAGACAGGUUGCCAGCAUGAAUGAAGAGCAACUGAUUCAGCCACAGCAGAAUUGCAAAGAUGAUGCAGACCAGCAGGUAGUUGAGAGGGUAGCCUCAACUGAGGCUGAUGAGAUAGAAGAUGAUUCCAUUAUAGACAAAGACUUUUCACUGCAGCUGUCUCAGGAUGUUUUUCCACUCACUUCCUCAAGUGCUGAAGGUUUCACUAUUGUUGAUGUAGCAGGUGACAAAACACUUUUCCAGACUUUUCUUGCAGAAUGGAGGGAGAAAAGCAGAUUCUCCAUCUCAGUGGCAUGUGAAAGAAGUAAAUGUCUUUUGUCAACCAAAUCAACAAUUGGUGGCAGAUUCAAACAAGGAAAUCCUCCCCAGUGGAAUCAGGUCAAAGAUGAUGGAUUUCCUGUCCAACACUGUGAAGACAUCUUGGUAGUUGGACUGGCAGUCUGUUGGGGUGGAAAAGAUGCCUACUAUAUAUCUUUGCAGCAGAUGCAAGACCAGACUGAAAUCAGUCUGAGUUUGGCACCACCACCUUUGGACAAAAACCUAUCUGUAACAGAGAGACUGCAUCAUCUGCAGCUGUACCUGCAGGAGAAGCAGGAGCGCUCACUUGUCAUGUAUAACUUCAUUCAGCACUACAAGACCCUGGUGAUGGCAUGUGGCAUCUCCUUGGAAGGAAGUUUUGAGGACCCAAAGGUUGCUUAUUGGCUGCUUGAUUCUGGCUCCAAGGAAUGUACCCUUCACAGUAUGGUGACUAACUUUCUACCCAGUGAGCUGCCUCUUCUGGAAGGGGUAGGCACUGGCCAGGGGGUUCAGAGCCUGGGGCUUAGCGCCAGUGAAGAUCAUUCUGGACGGUACAGAGCAGCAAUAGAGUCUGUGCUCAUCUUCAAUGUCAUGAACCAACUCCAUAAUGAACUACAGAAGGAAAAUCUGUCAGAUGUGUUUUCUAAAGUGGAGAUGCCCAGCCAUUAUUGCUUGGCUCUGCUGGAGCUGAAUGGCAUUGGUUUUAGCACAGCAGCAUAUGAAACCCAGAAACAGGUCAUGCAAGCUAAAUUGACUGAGAUUGAGACCAAGGCAUAUCAACUGGCAGGCCACAGUUUCUCCUUGACCAGCCCUGAUGACAUUGCAGAGGUUUUGUUUCUGGAGUUGAAGUUGCCACAAAAUGGAGAUGUGAAAGUUCAAGGGAACAAGAAAACUCUGGGUUACACCAGAAGAACAACUGUUAAAGGAAACCGGGUUAGGUUGAGCAAGCAGUUCAGUACAACCAAGGAUGUUUUGGAGAAAUUAAAGACACUUCACCCAUUGCCAGGGCUCAUACUGGAAUGGAGAAGGAUCAACAAUGCAAUUUCUAAAGUGGUGUUUCCACUACAGAGGGAAAAACGAUUCAAUUCUGCACUGGGAAUGGAACGGAUAUAUCCCGUGUCACAGACUCACACAGCUACAGGUCGAAUAAGUUUUGCAGAGCCAAAUAUCCAGAAUGUGCCAAGAGAUUUUGAGAUUGAAAUGCCGAUUGUAGUUGAAGAAAGCCCACCCUUCCGAACCCAUGGAAAUGUUUAUUCUCGUGCUGUUUCCAGAGUCAGAGGUAGAAAGCAUUCCAGUAUUUUGCCUAAUGGUGUAAACCUUUGUGCUGAAGACAGAGCUGAAAGAAGAGGAAUCCCGUUUUCUGUUAGUAUGCGGCAUGCUUUUGUUCCCUUCCCAGGUGGCUUUAUCUUGGCUGCUGAUUAUUCUCAGCUUGAAUUGAGGAUCCUUGCUCAUUUGUCUCGUGACUGUCGACUCAUUGAAGCCUUGAACAGGGGUACCGAUGUCUUUAAGAGCAUUGCAGCAGAAUGGAAGAUGAUUGAUUCUGAAGCUGUUGGAGACAGCACCAGGCAACAAGCUAAGCAGAUUUGCUAUGGAAUCAUCUACGGAAUAGGAGCAAAAUCUUUAGGCGAGCAGAUGGGCAUUGAUGACAAUGAAGCUGCCAGAUACAUCGAAUCCUUCAAAUCAAGAUAUGCAGGUAUUCAGAAAUUCUUGAAGGAGACAGUAAGUAACUGCAGAAGAGAUGGGUUUGUGCAGACCAUCCUGGGAAGACGGAGAUACCUGCCAGCUAUCAGAGAUUCAAAUCCCUACAGUAAAGCUCAUGCAGAGCGCCAGGCUGUGAACACAACUGUUCAGGGAUCCGCUGCUGACAUUGUCAAAACAGCCACUGUGAACAUUCAGAGACGCUUGGAAGCUCUCUCUUCUGUGACCAAGUCCCAUGGACAUCUGGAGAACUCAUUCCAGAAAGAUAAGACAGGAAGGCUGUCGAGGAAGAGAAACAGAGAGAUGCUGCAUCCCAUCAGUGGAGGUUUCUUCAUCCUUCAGCUCCAUGAUGAGCUCCUCUAUGAAGUUGCAGAAGAUGAUGUGAUCCAGGUAGCUCAGAUUGUCAAGCAUGAGAUGGAAAAUGCUGUCAAACUCUCAGUAAAACUGAAUGUUAAAGUGAAAAUUGGACCUAGCUGGGGAGACCUGCAGGACCUGGAGCUAUAGAUGUGAAAACAUGGCUUUCUUGGUUUUGGAAGACAACGUGAGCUGCUCAGGGCAAGGCCCAGCGCACCGGCAGGCAGCGGCAGGCCUCCUGCUUGUGUUUCUGUGGUCAUCACUGCGAACUGUCUUCUGAACUGGGUCGUGGAAGCUGCUAUGAAUUCACCGUGCUGAGCCUUCCAAAGCCGUCUGCUAGGAGCGUUCUGCAGUGGUUUCUGCAGCUGAUGUGGAAGUGCGGAGGUGGCUUUCAGCUGGUUGCGUUUCUCACGGAGCAGCCGUGCACAGUGAGCGCAACUUCAUGACAGAGUUUGAACUCUUCUAACUAACAAAACCUCCAGCAAAAGCCUUCAUUUUUAAAUAAUGAAGAAAAAUAAGAAAAACAUCUCAGUCUGCUCCUCCUCGGUGCAAACAACCUCUGUCUUCCCAUACUUGCCUCCUCUGAGAAACCUUCCAGCCCCUAAUUAUUCUCCUUUCAUUUCUGAACUUUGCUGGAUCCUUUGUCAGAAGUGGCCUUUUGAAGUUUCCUUUAUAACUGGGCCGGAGAUGCUGCGCGGUUGGCUUUGAGCAGCCUGAGAGCGUGUUGGAGCUGUGAACUUUAAAUGCAGAGGUUUUGGGGCAGCUGUUAUCCUGACAUCAAGAAGCGCUGGGCACUGAUGUUUCAUGAGAAUGGUGAGUUUGAAAAGGUGUUAAUGGGGCCUGUGCACAAAAGGCCACAUCCUGGGCUUUAAGCACAGAAUCACAGGGGUUGGAAGGAACAUCAAGAUAUCAAGUCCAACCCUCUGCUAAAGCGUGUACCCUACAAUAGGUCACACAGGUAAGCACCCAGAUGGGUCUUGAAUAUCUCCAUAGAAGGAGACUCCACAACCAAUCUGGGCAGCCCUGUGCCAGUGCUCUGUCACCCUUACCGUAAAGGGCCUGCAUGUCAUGCAGCAGAACAGACACAUGGAGGCAGGCACUAAGCAGUGAUGCCCCACUGCCCUUCCCAGCACUGAGCUGACCUGCCUGCCUGUUUUAUCUUUUUCUUCACUUUGCAUUGAGAUUUUUUUGUUUCCUUUCUGCCCUCUCUGCAUGGUGGUUUUCCACCACAUCUGUCACCUGAUAGCUGAGCUCUUUAUCCAUGGCAUUCGCUUGAUAGGCAGUCACUUCCUUUCAAUUCUGGGCAUAUUAAAGCUUUGUUAUUACCAGACCUGAACCACGGCCCCCCGGUGUCAGACCAUUUGUGCGCUCUGCCUGUAUCGAUGCUGGGUUGGAUUCAUCGCCGAUUCACACGGCCUGAUGAGUUCCUUUCCCUGGGUGUCAUGCAGCGAUGCACCUGUGCUGGAUUUCAGGCCUCCCUGCAGCCUCUGUAAUUUGCGCUGCUCUCCAGCACAUGGCAGCGUUUGCCUCCUGCAGGCUGCCUGUAGGAGUUCAGAAGGUGGUUCUCAGCAAGCCCCCCAGACAGGGAUGCUAAUCAAUGAAAUGACUGACGCCGAACUAAACUUAUUUUGAUAAACAAACUUGAUGACUUCAUUAUAAUUAAGCAGUAAUUUGGAGAAAAUGGGAUGAUAAAAGUGGCCACUGCUCUGUGAGGCAGCUGCUGUGUUUGAGUCACGAUAGCAGAACUGGUUCUGAGCUGCUGCCUGAUUGCUGCUAUUUACAUCUCUUCAUUCUGAGUAGACUUCACCGAUCAAUGACUCUCAUUGAUUCCCCUGAGCACGGGAAGCAAAACAGGACUUAGGUAAGUUGAGGCAUUGCCGGGAAUGGUGCUGAAAGCGAAACCUGUUUAUUUCUGGAGCUGGUAGGUGAGCCAGGAAGAGGUUGGCUAUGUGUAUUGUUUACUAUUUAUUUAAUAUUAUUUAUUAUUUUUUUGUGUGAGUCUCCCCCCCACACCCCGCAGUAGGCCAAGGCCCAAUGGGAAAUAGCUCUUCUCUGGCUCCAGAGUGUGUACUUGGAGCACGGGUCCCUCUUUGUUCUCCUGGAGCCAGGAUGCGAUGCCUCUGUGUGCUUGCUCUCUGUCCUUCUGGCUGCUGGAGUCUCUUUCCAGCCCACUUCUUUGGUCACUCAGCACCACAGUGUGUGUGCACAGUGCCUUAUAUGGUCCAGCAGCCCAGGAGAAAGAUUGGGGGACACAUGGAGAGGAUAGGAGUCGUGUUUGUUAUGGCGUUUUGUCACUCGGCACAUGGAGUUGCUCCUACCUGCUCCUGCCAUUCUGCAAGGCUGGUGCAACAGCAGGUGAGUGUCUGGCUGCCAGGAGGGAUAGGAUCCAGUGCCAGCAAACAGCUGCACUCACCAGACCUGCACUGCAGGUCACAGUGUGACCCCAUAUGCCCCAAAUUCUCACAUGGACAGCCCAUUCCCAUGACUUGUUGAGCAGUCUUGUUCUACUCGGUUCACAUCCAUUUUCCUAUCAUAAUGGCUCACAUUUCAUCCUACCAGUGAACCCUUUUCUGUAUGGAGCAGAGCUUCCUGGACUUGAUAUGAGGAACAGCUCCCAUCAGUAGCUGAUAAGGCUCCUCGAGCACUUUCUUCUUAUGUGUACAGCAACCUUAUUUAGAACUGCUUGUUUUGACAAAGCUCUCCUACUACAAGUGCUCUGUACUUUGCUGUAAGGGCAGCAGAUGAAGACAGAUGACAAAAUCUGGCAUGCUAGUGCUCUGAUCUGGUUUGGGCCUUCUGCUUUUCUCGCAUUCUAUUCUUAUUUUAUCAAGAGCUGUAGAGUUUUUCCUGCCAUUUUUUUCCUAUAAAUCUGUAGCUGGAAUAGGGAAGGUGAACUGGAAUGGAAGCACAGUAGCUUUGGCUGAUAUUUUUGAGCCUCCUGUGGCAGAGCAACUGCAUCACAUUGCUGUCUAAGUGGCCUUAAACAGGCUUGCUUUUGCACUGCUGAGAGAUCAGCCUGUAUGGGACUGUUCUUCCCCUGUGGUGGAAGUGACAUGAAGGGCACUCAAUGGAGAAGUCCAGGAGUGAGGCUAAUACUCCCAGGGAUGGGUGUUAUGCUCAUGAGCAACUUGUAAAGCACAGGAGCAUGGCCUGGGUUCAGGCUUUGCCUCCAUUUGAGCUGUCAGAGGAAGGGAUGUGACUGUCCUGGUCUCAGCAACAGCUGCUGUGGGAUUUCCUGAGUCCCUAAGUGAGCGGUGUAACCUCCAUCCAAACGUUCUACACAAGCCCCUCACCUUUUGAACUACUACAAAGAAUCUAAGAGUACAAAUUGAAAAAAAGAGAGCUCUACACCAACUAGUUAGCAAUUCUUUAUUUUCUUUCCCUCUUUUUUUAAAUUUUUUCUCCUAAAUAGGGAACUCAAAACAGCUUCAGUUCAAGCUGCUGUAGGUUUCCUGUUGUGGAGCGGCCCUGGGAUACCCAUGGGAACAGGAUGGGGUUUGCACAGUGCGUGUGGCUCACCCCAGCUCUGCCCUCCUUCUGCGAUGGAUGUGAUGAUUGUUAAACCCAUACAGACUCUGUCCACCGAAAUGACACCAAAUCUGAGAACUGCUAUUUAAAAAAGUACAAUGUUUGAGCUGUUGAUUUAAUCACAGAACACAUGAAUGGAAACACGGAUUUACGUGCCGAUCGCUCACACCGAGAUGAAGCGCUGACUCCAAAUGGCCACACGUGGCUCCUUAAUGAGAGAGAGUGUGUUCAUACUGAGCCUGUGCCACGGCAAAAAAAACAUCCCAUACUGAAAUACUCUGUGCUUGAAUUCACCUUUAGGUUAUGGACAAUGAUGUGUGGGUGCCAGGAUACUAACGGGUGUAAGUAAAUGAACUGGGGCUCUUUGCUUCCGUUACAAUAUGCCCAGUUCAUAAAUGGAGGAGCCCUGAGGUGUAACACAGCUUUGAGCUGAGCUGCAGUAUUUUCUUCACUUUUCAAAUUGUAUCCUGAAAAAAAAAUAUAUAUUCUUGUAUGCAUAAUCUUCAUUGUAAUACAUUCCGGUGUAAAAUGGCUUUUAUAAAAGGGCUUUGUAAACCGUUUCAGAGAAUUUCUAGACGUGAUAAUUUUAUACAACAUGUGCAGCAAACAGAGUUUCUGUGAAACAUUGACAGAGGAAGCUACAGUGGUAAUACAGGGGAUGGUUAAGGGAUGUAAACAAGAGAUUGGAGAACUGUGGGAAAAAAAAUCAUUUAGAAAACAGUAAUUAUAUGAAACAAAGCCCAAUUCUCACUUUUUCCUCCAGCUUAUCUUCACUCAGCAUCUGAAGCUUCAAUUAACACUCCAUUGAAUGGGUUUGUUUAUUUAACAAAAUAGCUUGUACUUCACUGGAGCCUUGCCUACUCUGAAAGCAUACAAAUAGUCUGAUUUUAUGUAUUUUCUCUGCAUGUUCAGUCUAUAUGCAGCUCUAUGAAUACACAUACAUGAACAUAUCUGGUCAAACCCAUUGUUUGGGCGCAUCAGGUUUGGGGAUGGGGUUGUGAGUGGGCACUCCUGUAACGAAGAACGGGAGGGAGAAGGGCAUCCAGGUGAACAAAAGCAUCUUACAUGGAACAAAUAUUUCCAGGCAUUCUAUUGUAACAGGAUUACACGGUUGGAGAUACCUCUAUGUGUAGGUGGUGCUCUUAGUGGAAAAGUGAAAG